AUUGAACGCUGGCGGCAGGCCUAACACAUGCAAGUCGAACGAGUGGCGGACGGGUGAGUAAUGUCUGGGAAACUGCCUGAUGGAGGGGGAUAACUACUGGAAACGGUAGCUAAUACCGCAUACCAUCAGAUGUGCCCAGAUGGGAUUAGCUAGUUGGUGGGGUAACGGCUCACCAAGGCGACGAUCCCUAGCUGGUCUGAGAGGAUGACCGGCCAAACUGGAACUGAGACACGGUCCAGACUCCUACGGGAGGCAGGAGUGGGAAAUGUUGCACAAUGGGCGAAAGCCUGAUGCAGCCAUGCGCGGUGUAUGAAGAAGGCCUUGGGGUUGUAAAGUACUUUCAGCGGGGAGGCGUAACCCGCAGAAGAAGCACCGGCUAACUCCGUGCCAGCCGCGGCGGUAAUA
rnacentral:rRNA from 1 species